rnacentral:rRNA from 1 species
GAGGAUUACACUGUCUCCCCCCCCAAAUCAAUGAAACUGAUCCCUCCGUGAAGAAGCGGGGAUAAAUAUAUAAGACGAGAAGACCCUAUGGAGCUUUAAACUAAACACCACUUACCUUUAAUCACUCCCUUACAAACAGGUAAAGAUCGUGUGUGUUUUCAGUUGGGGUGACUGCGGAGCAAAAUAAAACCUCCACGAUGAAACAAUCCUCUAAUCUAAGAACAACAUUUCAAAGAAUCAACAAAUUGACAUAAAUUGACCCAAAUAUUAAUUUGAUCAACGAACCAAGUUACCCUAGGGGUAACAGCGCAAUCCAUUUCAAGAGCUCAUAUCGACAAAUG